CGGCGGACGGGUGAGUAAUGCGUGGGUAACCUGCCUGUAAGACUGGGAUAACUCCGGGAAACCGGGGCUAAUACCGGAUGGUUGUUUGAACCGCAUGGUUCAAACAUAAAAGAUGGCUUCGGCUACCACUUACAGAUGGACCCGCGGCGGAUUAGCUAGUUGGUGAGGUAACGGCUCACCAAGGCAACGAUGCGUAGCCGACCUGAGAGGGUGAUCGGCCACACUGGGACUGAGACACGGCCCAGACUCCUACGGGAGGCAGCAGUAGGGAAUCUUCCGCAAUGUGACGAAAGUCUGACGGAGCAACGCCGCGUGAGUGAUGAAGGCUUUCGGAUCGUAAAGCUCUGUUGUUAGGGAAGAACAAGUGCCGUUCAAAUAGGGCGGCACCUUGACGGUACCUAACCAGAAAGCCACGGCUAACUACGUGCCAGCAGCCGCGGUAAU
rnacentral:rRNA from 1 species